UUCCCCUUCUUAACUUCGUAGUUUCCAUCUCGAUUAAUCUGGUUCUGGGUUUAUUCUACUUCAGUUCUUGCCAUUGGUUUCUGGAAUCAGAAGCGUUGGAUUUUUAGCUGGAGUUGGCAAAUAUGCAUUUUUUUGUGUGGAAAAUGCUCUAGACCUUGGAUGAUGAAGAUAUAUGGUGUUUUCGCUUUCAAACUUGAAAUCUGGUGUCCAAGAAGUUUAAUUGUUGAUUUGAGAGAGAGAUAGAGAGAGAGAGAGAAGUUCAUCUUGUCCUCUUGCCCUUUCGGAAAGCCAGCCUUUGAGAAACAAUGAAAGCAGAGGAGACUACAUUCGAAGAAGGUGACCUUUGAGUAGUAGGAUACUGAGUUGCUGGGGACUCCGAGGGAAUGAUGCACGCCAAACUUAUGUGAUGGUGUGAAGAUGUAGUGGGAGGGACAUGCCUUGGUAAUGGAGCACUCUGAGAAGCCUCAUCAUCCGCAUCAAUGCGGUCGCCUCAUGCUUCUAAUGCCCCAACAUCAUCCUCGAGGUAUAACCAUGAAAGCCAAAUCUUCGAUGCCUGCCGGUACAUUAGUUGAUGUUGGCUUAAGCAAGGUAUGGGUCUUGAACAGUGUUCGCAAAAUCGAACUGGAAUGGUUAACCGGACAUGGGGCCAAAAGUGGUUUAACCGGCCUAACCGGUAAAGCGGCCGAUUCAACCAUUCUAAUCGAGAAGUUAUGGUCGAGCAAGUUCUUGAACGCAGAUUACGAAGAACUGUAAGCAUCGGGAAUGAUUGACAUCUCGAACCAGUUUGGACUAUUCGGCAUCUUUGACAGUGAUAGUGGUGUAACAGCAGCAAAGGCUGCUAAUGAAUGCUGCCUAACGUGGUUGCUGAUUUCCUUUUGAGUCCAGAAAGAAGAGAGAAAGUUGUUUCCCUCCCUCACUCCAUCUGCCACCAAACUCGACUGUAGUGGCGUCUGUCUCGCACAUUAAACAAUCUCUGCCACUAAGGCAUGGUUUCUUCAAUAAUUGCUUCUGAAAAUAGGAUCGUCUAUGUAUUGUGUUUUGUUGGGUCAUCUUGAUGAUUUGAACUCCUUGGAUCUUCAAUGUAUUAUCUAUGGUUGGGUCUCUAAGAACCCACUUCGUUUAGAUGAAAAACAACAGUCUCUUAAGAAGCGUAGGUCCCCUUUAGAAUUAUCCUUCCAUGUGACUGUGGAAUAAUCUUUUGUUAUUGAUUUAUUUUUUCACUUAACAGACAUGUAGGGCAUGACACAUGUAUUUCAAUUGCGUCACUGGUCAUUGACAAGCAGAAGGAAGGAGCAAUCCAAAAAGCCCAAUUAUUUAGGACUAAUUGUCCCCACUUUGUCCUGGUAUGAGGCGCACAUUAGUUCUACUGCAUACAUGGUGGUGAGUGUUUGCUUCUUUUUUUGAUAGAACAUGUAAUUUUUUAUCGGAAAUUGUAUGUAAAGGCAUGUGUAUAAAAUUUUUUAUCGGAAACAUAAAGAAAUACUUUCCACCAUGAACAUGGUAGAAACUAAUGACCUCUUCAUAACCCCGACAAAGUGGGGACAAUUAAUCGUAAAUGAUUGGGCUUUUUGGAUUGCUCCUGCAUUCUGCUUGUUAGUGACCGGUGAUGGUGAUGCAGUACAUGUAUCAUGCCCUAAAUGUAUUUUUAUUUGUCAAGUGAAAAAUUAAAUCAAUAACAAAAUAUUAUUCCAUUCACAUAGAUAAUUCUAGAGGGACUUACACUUCUUAGGAAACCAUUGUGUUUCUUUUGUUGGGUCAUCUUCAAGGAGAUCUUGGUGAAUCAUAAAAAGAUUGUGGCAGCAAAAGUCAUCAAGAAACAAAAAUGCAGCAUGGUAAAUGCAAAGCUUAAAUUUUGUUUGUGGGAUUGACGGUAACCUGAAGUUUGGGAAUGGCCAAAGAUAUUGAUGGUGUGUAAAAUACCUUUGGAGAUGGAGCUCUCCUGAAAUUGGCAACAACGUCACAGGCAGACAAAGAAGGGUUGAUUUUAGUUUGCAUUUUCUAUUUAUUUAUUGCUUAGAGAGGAGUGGAUGGGAUUUAUUACGAGGGGGAAGUUUUGGGCGAUUGAGUUAAAGAAACAUGCGACAAUAAAACUAAGGUGGUAUGAACUCCUGUAAUCUGACUUUUAGCUUCCUUUGGAACAUUUACUUGCUGCUGACAUAUCCAAUAAUAAAAUGUGUCCUUGAAGGUGUCUGUGGGAUUGGACACCACAACGUGGGAA